ACAAUGUGGCGCCUGUCAUUGGCCAAAGGGGGAAGGAGCGAUCUGAUUGGCUUGUCUCUUUUUCAACUGUGUCCACCUGCGUUCUUUUCUCAAAUAACAGGCAUCACGCAGAGCUAAAACAUAAAACUUUUAUCAUAAGAAAUUAUUUACUAAAAUACAGGCAAUGGACCCUGUAAGACAACUGACUAUUGCUACUAUAUAGGCUAUAUUAAACGCAUUGUUCAACGAUUAACGUUUAGUCAAAAGUAGCCGACAAAAACUUCAUCACGGGAUUUUCCAGACUUCGAAUAGCAAACAAAUGUAUUUUUUCCUUACAAGUGAAUUUUAGCCUAAGUAAGUAGGACAUAUCUUUAACUUCUGAAACACCAGAUUUUGUUCUAAAGGUUUGCUGAAGAACCUCGUAGAUUGACGUCAAUAUCGAUAAAGGCAAAACGCACCCCGGAGCGCUAUUGUAAGGAUCUUUCUCUCCGCUGAUACCCGGCCGGAGCGCGGCUGGACCCGAACUGCCUCCCUGAGGAACUCCUGCUGGAAUGGUUUGAGUGCGCAGAGCGCAGCAGAGAAUUUUCUUAUGAGACGGGAGUGGGAAACGGGGCUUGUGCUAACCUGGACAAUGGCCGUGUCAACUUACUUUCUGGACAACUUUUUAAUAUCGAAAGAUUAAUGCUCAGUGUCACCGCUGAAAGCUGCCGAACACUACGUGAAAUAUUUAAUAAAUGCACCAGUACCUUUUCUGCAAGUAUAGGCCUAGAAAACAUGGCACAGUUCACUUUACUCACAGAAAUAAAUUAAUCAAGUUGUGUCUUAAUUUUAAUUGUGAAAAGUGAAAAUUCUGAUAGGCUAUCUCAAUUUUUUAGACCGCGUGUCAAAAUUGGUGAACGCUGACAACAAUGUCGCCAACGACAACAACACCGAUAAACAAAUAAAUCAAUUUUGAAUAGCAUUAUACUAUGCCUACACUGUAAUGAUUUAUCACAACAGUUUUUCUUUUGUCAAAUUAACUUCAAUAAUUAAUGUCUUUCAGAUAACAAUAUUUUGAGUUUCUGUUGAUUAAACCAAUUGCUUUUAUUGUAUUAACUCAAAAUUAAGGCAUUCAGGUAACUUACUUUUAAGUUAAACCAACAAUUCUCUUUUUCUUUUUUUUUACAGUGUAUUGAUAGUAUUAAUACAGCUCUGGUAAAAGUAUAAAACACAUCUUUAUUCAAUGCAAAAACCAAAAAAAAGAAAUAGCAAACAGAAACACCCCCCCCCCCCCCCCAAAAAAAAAAAAAAAACAACAGAAAUAGCUUGAAAUGAAAAGAGUUAUCCUGAAGAUUUACCUUUGCUGAGAAAAAUAUUUCUGAAGGACAGCUGAUGUCUUAAUGUUUCUUUAUAAUUAUUCAUAAGAUACACUAUAAAAACAUCAGUCAGUUCAUAUUACUGGACGUUGUUUGUCUAUCAGGGAAUUUGUGGUUCACUGGAAAAUAAAGUACAAAAAAUAAAGUACUACUUCUGAUGCCAGAGUGUAAAUAUUAUUUUUUGGGGUCGAAACUUUGAUACCUCAAAUGCCAAUUAGUAUUUGAAAGCUUACAUUUGUAAUUUACGAAGAUCUAAUCAUUUUUAUUCUACAAUCUAGACCUCCUUAAAAUACUGUAUAUAUACACAAAAUAUAUAAUUAAAUAAAACUCAGCCUGCUUCUCUAAUGCCACUGCUCAUUUCCUUCAUAACCAAUAACCUAUCAGAGACUCAAACCUUUUAAAAUCAAUUGUUUUUAAAAAGGAGUACUGACUGCAGAAAUCUUUAUUAAAACAACAAAUUGAACACAUAAAUAACAAAUUAAUUAAAUGUGUUAUUUUUUCUAAAGUUCUUAAGAAAAAUUGCAAACUAGAAUUUUAACAAUGCAUUAAAGAAGGCCAGAGAUACUCUGGCAAAUUUAAUUCAAUUAAUUAGAGAGAGAGAGAGACAAAUUAAAAAAAAAAACUACUUUGGGGAAAAAAAAAAAAAAAAAAAAGUUUUCCUAAUUAAAGAAUCAUCCAUAUACAGUCAAAAAGUAAGUUGCAUCUGCAGUACGAUAAUCUUCAGAUCUCAAUAGUAAAGU